UGAAUUUCAAAAAAGACCCGUAAUCGGGAGGGCAUAACUACCACAUGGUUUAUCCAAAUUGCAAGUUCUUUAUAUGCACAAACUCCAUUUAAUAUGUACUUCAAAGUUGCAUAAUUGGAUUUUUUUGGAAAAGGCUCCAUGCAAAAUGCCAUUUUUGAAGUGAAUCAAUUUAAGGAGAGGGGCAAAAUGGUCCACAUUUGAAAAUAUUGGGAAUUUGCAAACAAGGCUUAUACCAACAGCUCCCAAUUGAUAUUUUGGACUGGUUUCAAGUGUUAAUUUUCUGCAGAGCAUGCUUCUAAAAUCAAAGAGCUUAAAAGCCAAUUCACACACAAAACCAAUUUUGGGACUAAUCUCAUUUUUUUGCUUAAUACAAUUAUAGUUUAGAUUAAGCACUGCAUAUAAAAACAAAAACUCUAACAGAAUUGGAAUUUUUUUUGCUGCUAAUGACAACUUUCAGAAACUUCUACACAAUCAUUUUUUCAGCUAACAGAAAAAAAAGCUAACGGCAAAAAACCACUCUCUGCAAAUCAUUCGCACAAUCACUCUCAAAAGGACAAUUCUCAUAAUCACUCUCUCACGAUCACAAUCACAACUCCACAAUCACAAUUGCAUCUAACAAAAAAAAAAAGAAAAACUCCAAGCUCUCUCUCAUUUUCGACUCGAAGUUUCACAAACUUUUUUCUGAUUUUUCUUCAAGAUCCUUCGAUCUUUUGUGCAAUUUGGCUGUAGAUUCACGUUUUGCAGGUAAUGCUGAAGUGCUGCUGAGCAAGAUUGAGAUGAAAUUGCAACAAAUUCGUGACUGUUGUGGAGCUGUCCUUCCAUGGUAAUCAAGAAAAUCCGUUCGAUUCUCGCAUCCUCGAGCUGAACGAACAUCAUCAUCCACCUUCCGCGGCUACACACUCCGUCUGUCUCGCUUUUGUUUUUGAGCUCUGCAGAUCGCCAUUUCCGCAACCGUCGUCAAGAGAGGUACCCUUUAGUCGCUCAGUUCUCUUAAGAACUUGCAUUGCUUUGCUUAUAAGCAAUUGGCAUUGAGGAACAAUGGUUGAAAACCAGGAUAGAUUGAGGCACAACCAUGUAUCUCAACAUGUUUCUGUUCGUAGGGAGAGAGCAGUGCGCUCGAGGCCACAAGUUAGUGUUUCGUUUAAUGCUGAAGUGUUGACUUCACACAAUCGCGUGUCUCAGACUUCACAAGGUCGCGUGUCUCAGACUUCAGCCUCCUAAAGGAACGUGUCUCCUUCUGACCCUCCAACUUGUGAAUCCCUUGAAGCACAACAGAAGGAACAUGUUGUUGUUGCUCCCAUUCCUGAUAGUUUUCUAAGAGGCCUCUAUGACACCUCCUUACUUCAUCUCUAUGCAGAACAUGCUGCUAAGCGUGUGUGAGAAUGAGAGGUGUAUUUAUUUACUUUUACGUUACUUAUGUUUCAUACUAAUUGAGUUGCGAAUGAUUUUGAUAUAUU